UCUGGCCUGUAUUCACUGCAUUGUUGUGAGCAGUUGGGCGCUGCAUCUCCAGAUUGGGACAGUCCUAGCUUGCAAGCAACAAUGUUGUGCAUUUGCAGGUCGAGUGCGCCGAGACUUUCGAGAAGGCGAUAUGAGCUCAAUUUUGAGGCCAGCUUGCUGGUACCCGGAUUGGAGGAAUGUUGUUCGUUUUGGAUGUGAAUGGGGGAAAGGUUUUCGGGCUCGUAUGGGUUCGAAUUGGUGUGGGGUGGCAGUUGCAUGCAACAUGUGCCUUCUGCCAAUUCGGUCCUGUGCGAGCUCACAAUCCCACUCUCGGCGUAAAAGUUGGUCAUCUAUCCGACCCGUCUUGAAACACGGACCAAGGAGUUUAUCGUGUGCGCAAGUCAUUGGGUGUUGAAAACUCAAAGGCGCAAUGAAAGUAAAGAAUCCGCAAGGAUACGACGUGUGAUCUGAGCAAUCACGAUUGCCUGGAGCAACAUGGCCCCAUUCUGGUCGCUUGCGACGGGGUGGAGGAAGAGCGUACGCGGUGAGACCCGAAAGAUGGUGAACUAUUCCUGAGCAGGAUGAAGCCAGAGGA
rnacentral:rRNA from 1 species